rnacentral:misc_RNA from 1 species
AUUGGGCGUAAAGCGUCCGCAGAUGGUUUUGAAAGUCUAUUGUCAAAGCGCGGGGCUCAACUUCGUACAGGCAGUGGAAACUACAUGACUAGAGUUCGGUAGGGGUAAGGGGAAUUCCCAGUGUAGCGGUGAAAUGCGUAGAUAUUGGGAAGAACACCAGCGGCGAAAGCGCCUUACUGGGCCUGAACUGACAUUCAUGGACGAAAGCUAGGGGAGCGAAAGGGAUUAGAUACCCCUGUAGUCCUAGCCGUAAACGAUGACAACUAGGUGUUGCCCGUAUCGACCCGGGCAGUGCCGUAGCUAACGCGUUAAGUUGUCCGCCUGGGGAGUACGCACGCAAGUGUGAAACUCAAAGGAAUUGACGGGGGCCCGCACAAGCGGUGGAGUAUGUGGUUUAAUUCGAUGCAACGCGAAGAACCUUACCAAGGCUUGACAUGUCGCGAAUCCUCUUGAAAGGGGGGAGUGCCUUCGGGAGCGCGAACACAGGUGGUGCAUGGCUGUCGUCAGCUCGUGUCGUGAGAUGUUGGGUUAAGUCCCGCAACGAGCGCAACCCUCGUUUCUAGUUGCCAUCAUUAAGUUGGGCACUUUAGAGAGACUGCCGGUGACAAACCGGAGGAAGGUGGGGAUGACGUCAAGUCAGCAUGCCCCUUACGCCUUGGGCUACACACGUACUACAAUGCUACGGACAAAGGGCAGCCAACCAGCGAUGGUGCGCUAAUCCCAUAAACCGUGGCUCAGUUCAGAUUGCAGGCUGCAACUCGCCUGCAUGAAGGCGGAAUCGCUAGUAAUCGCAGGUCAGCAUACUGCGGUGAAUACGUUCCCGGGCCUUGUACACACCGCCCGUCACACCAUGGGAGUUGGCCACGCCCGAAGUUGUUACCCUAACCGCGAGGAGGGGGGCACCUAAGGCAGGGCUGAUGACUGGGGUGAAGUCGUAACAAGGUAGCCGUACCGGAAGGUGUGGCUGGAUCACCUCCUUUUAGGGAGACCUACCCACUUAGUUUUUGAAAGCGAUAAGCGAGUAGAGAGUAAGUUGGUCAUCCCAAGGUCGUAAAGGGUUAAGUGUUGGCUUUCAAACGCUGUCUGGUUUCUUUUUACGGAGAUAGUUAUAGGUUAGGAGUUAAUCAAUUACAUUUUAGGAUUAGGGUGUAGAUGAUUAAGGCUUGAGUUAGGCUAGUCUGUAGAGAGGAACCAAGCGCGGGCUAUUAGCUCAGGUGGUUAGAGCGCACCCCUGAUAAGGGUGAGGUCCCUGGUUCGAGUCCAGGAUGGCCCACCUUUAAUGAGAGGGGGUUUAGCUCAGUUGGUAGAGCGCCUGCUUUGCAAGCAGGAUGUCAACGGUUCGAGUCCGUUAACCUCCACUGGGAGUAGAGCUAGUGAUUGGUAAACUGUCAUUAGUGAGUCCAAGUUUAGCGGAAAGAUUUUAGCAACUAAGCUAGGGGUCAAGGAUUUGACGAACUAGGUAGCCUGCUGGAUUUGUUCCAGUCAGAACCAAGAAAACUGCAUAGAAACUUGUCAGGUAGAAAGUAGAUAAUUUUUACGAAUGGGCUUAGGUCCAGGGUGUAAGAACUACUUCAGAUAUCACAGACACCAAUGUUGAUUUGAUUGAGA